rnacentral:rRNA from 2 species
UAGUGGCGAACGGGUGAGUAACACGUGGGCAAUCUGCCCUGCACUCUGGGACAAGCCCUGGAAACGGGGUCUAAUACCGGAUACGAGCCGGGGAGGCAUCUCCCCGGUUGGAAAGCUCCGGCGGUGCAGGAUGAGCCCGCGGCCUAUCAGCUUGUUGGUGAGGUAACGGCUCACCAAGGCGACGACGGGUAGCCGGCCUGAGAGGGCGACCGGCCACACUGGGACUGAGACACGGCCCAGACUCCUACGGGAGGCAGCAGUGGGGAAUAUUGCACAAUGGGCGAAAGCCUGAUGCAGCGACGCCGCGUGAGGGAUGACGGCCUUCGGGUUGUAAACCUCUUUCAGCAGGGAAGAAGCGAGAGUGACGGUACCUGCAGAAGAAGCGCCGGCUAACUACGUGCCAGCAGCCGCGGUAAUACGUAGGGCGCGAGCGUUGUCCGGAAUUAUUGGGCGUAAAGAGCUCGUAGGCGGCUUGUCACGUCGGUUGUGAAAGCCCGGGGCUUAACCCCGGGUCUGCAGUCGAUACGGGCAGGCUAGAGUUCGGUAGGGGAGAUCGGAAUUCCU